AGUGAACGCUGGCGGUAGGCCUAACACAUGCAAGUCGAACGGCAGCACAGUAAGAGCUUGCUCUUACGGGUGGCGAGUGGCGGACGGGUGAGGAAUACAUCGGAAUCUACUUUUUCGUGGGGGAUAACGUAGGGAAACUUACGCUAAUACCGCAUACGACCUACGGGUGAAAGCAGGGGAUCUUCGGACCUUGCGCGAUUGAAUGACCCGAUGUCGGAUUAGCUAGUUGGCGGGGUAAAGGCCCACCAAGGCGACGAUCCGUAGCUGGUCUGAGAGGAUGAGCAGCCACACUGGAACUGAGACACGGUCCAGACUCCUACGGGAGGCAGCAGUGGGGAAUGUUGGACAAUGGGCGCAAGCCUGAUCCAGCCAUACCACGUGGGUGAAGAAGGCCUUCGGGUUGUAAAGCCCUUUUGUUGGGAAAGAAAAGCAGCAGGUUAAUACCCCGCUGUUCUGACGGUACCCAAAGAAUAAGCACCGGCUAACUUCGUG
rnacentral:rRNA from 1 species